rnacentral:rRNA from 1 species
GACAGAGGGUGCAAACGUUGUUCGGAUUUACUGGGCGUAAAGCGUGUGUAGGCGGCUUCGCAAGUUGGAUGUGAAAUCCCACGGCUCAACCGUGGACGUGCAUCCAAAACUGCGUCGCUGGAGUCUCGGAGAGGAAGGUGGAAUGCUUGGUGUAGAGGUGAAAUUCGUAGAUAUCAAGCAGAACACCUGCGGCGAAGGCGGCCUUCUGGACGAUGACUGACGCUGAGACACGAAAGCGUGGGUAGCAAACAGG